rnacentral:tRNA from 1 species
GGCUUCAUACCUCAGUUUGUAGAGCAUCGCAUUAGUAACGUGGAGGUCAUGGUUUCAUCUCCCGUUGAAGCCU